rnacentral:misc_RNA from 2 species
AACGCACAUUGCGCCCUGUGGUAUUCCGCAGGGCAUGCCUGUUCGAGCGUCAGUACAACACUCAAGCCUAGCUUGGUAUUGAGCCACGUCCGCAAGGGCCGACUCUAAAAUCAGUGGCGGCGCCAUCUGGCUCUAAGCGUAGUAAUACUCCUCGCUAUUGAGUCCUGGUGGAUGCUGGCCAGCAACCCCCAACUUUCUAAGUUUGACCUCGGAUCAGGUAGGGAUACCCGCUGAACUUAA